UAUUAAAAUGCGGAAGAAAAGUAAAGUAGAGGUAGAGGGUAGAGGUAGAAGUAGAGGCAGAGAAAUCUAGUGUUGACACCUUUGACAAGUGCGGGGUCGCCCUUACACGUUUUGUCUGCCGCAAACAAUAAUCAUUGCACCUGUUUACUCAAUUACCCAGUGUUUUAAUAAAACAAACAAAUGUUUUGUCGCAAUUCCCGUUAGUUGUUUGUAUAAAAGUCUGCUCCAAUGUCUGGUUGCUCAAUAGGUACCAAGUAUUGUGUCCAUUGCAAAGUCGAACACAUGGAACAAGUGAAGACGUUCAGUAUUUUACAGUAGACAGUUUAAUUGGGACAGCAGUUGACGUUGACGAGCCAUUCUGAUCCAAUAGUUGGCCAUAGGCAAAGAAGGGUACAGUUGUAACUCUAGACUCAGGACUACUGGAAUGUUCGCUAAUUCCAACAGGUAUGGAGAUCACGAACGAGGGUAAUAAGGAGUUGAAUGAUGACACACCUGUUCUAACGACACAAAUCACCAGCCCGGGGUAUGACAAUGGCAUUGGAAGUUUGGAGGUGGUCCAAGAAACGUCAAAGGCUCUACUUGCCAAGUGUCACUCUAAGCAGCAACCGGAUGAUCUCGAUCUUGGUGACAAAAAUGACAGCAAUGGCGAGUCAAGAAUUGAAAGAGAUUCACUUGAAAAAGAAAUAGACUCUGAUAAAACAGUUAAAAGUCCGGGUUCACUGGCUUUUACCAUCGACUUUGGCGGUAAUAAACAAAUUGAUUCUGCUAAAUACAAUAAUUUAUUUCAGCGAUACAAUGCCAGGCAUAAAAGAAAUCUUUCGACAUCUAAAAUUGAGAUUAAAUCUAAACCUGUUACUGACUUAUCGCCAAAUUGUAUGCAAAAACACAAGCCACUGAGUAUUCAUUCUGAGGGAUAUUUUAGCAGUGAAGAUGAUAGCAAAAGAAAAGCUGAUAGACUGUCGCAAAAGUUGAAAGAAUUAGGUUUAAAAAACACAAAAGGUGCUACUAAGAAGUCUGAUCUAAUGUCGAAAUCGAUGACUGAGAACACCAACGGCGAGACGAAACGUAGAUCGUACCACGAGGAGUCGAUGAAUAAUUGCACCUAUGAAAUAACUUACUCGGCGACGAUGAACGACUUGAGCAAAAUGCAGAGUAAUGUUGAGGAAGAGCUCAAUCGCGUCCAAUAUUCACCGGAGAAAAAGUACACCAAGAAUAUCGAGUACAUCGAGAUAAAUCAUGACUACAGCGAGGAAAUUGAAAAAUCGAGCCUGGAUACCGUCGAAAAACUUUCAAACACGAGUUACCUGUCCGACAAUUGUCCAUCCAAUGAAUUCGCCAGCAGCAGCAGCAGACAAACGAACGUCCAGAUGAUGAGUGUCAGUUACACUGGAGAGUCGAGCGGGGAUUUUGAUCAAACUAAUUUAGAAGUUUUUAACGUGAGUACUGUUGAUGCUGGAUCUGAUGGUACAGUGAGCGAAGCUGGUACCUAUACAAUUCACAAAGAUUACACAGAUGAAGAGAAAGCGAGGAUGGAUAUUGAUAAAACUUUUAGUGUUGGAGUACUGACUGAAGAAGAGAGUAAUGAACUGUACGUUCAUCAUUUUAAAAUGCGAAGUUCUCGUGAUACAAACACUUGGAUUACCGAGUGGGCAACUCAAGUUGCCGAGCACAAUUCACUGCCGCCUGUGAUCGGCGGCACCAGUGGACGUACGCCGCCAAUGAGUCCGUCGAAAAUUCCAUCCCCGAUUUACUCCCGAAAUCCGAGAGCAUCGAGAAGUCGUUAUGAGCAAAGCGACAGCAGUUUGGAUGCUGAAGUCCAACAAAUGCGUGAUAGAAUUAUUUCAGUGUCGAAUAAUAAUAAUCAGCACACGCUGAUUGAUUCUGGUGGUGAGUCUGAUGAGGACACCAGCAACAGUUACAACACUCCGCCCCAUAGUUCUCAGCGCACUCCAACGCACAGCGCUCUGGUACGUCGUGGCAGUCUGUCCGAGUCUCUAUUCAAGCGAGCAAAUCACAAUGACUGCCGGCGUAGCAUGAGAAAGUAUCCAGAUGUUAAUAAAAAAGAAGAAAUUCUUGAUGUGCCAAAGAGUCCGUCCCACGUUCUAGCUCGUCUUCAUCUUGAACGCGGUAAUUCAUUAGAUAGAAAGUCUGAUACCGGGGAAUCAAACUCAUCACGACGUAGUAGUCUUAAGAAUUAUAUAACUGAUGAUAAUUUUAAGCAUACAAACAGUCCAAUUUUAAAUCGUAUUCGUACCAAUAAUUCUGUGACUUAUAAAUUAACAAACAGUCCAAUACUUGGGCAUAAAAAUAUAACCACUAAGAUAUUAAAUUCCCCGAGCUUUGAAAGACCUAAGCAGUUGUUAGUUAAAUCAAAUUCACAAGCUAAAAAUGUUGGGUACUUUACGUGCGUUGAAAAUAGUCCGUACAUGCUGAGAAAGUCCAACAGUACGUCCAACUACAGAGAAGACACAUCACCAGGUAUAAAAGAGCUGUCAGUCCUGAAUAAUAGCUCUAGUUAUCAGCGGAAUCCUGUGGGGAUCCAGCGUUCUUCCAGCAACACAAGUAUACGCAACGCCAAGACCAAGAGUAUGCUGGCACGACGUAGCAGCUUUAACGACCAGGGUGAGAGAUUGUCCAAGGCCAAACAUAUUGUGUCGGACAGCAGUAGCGAAGCUGGUGAGACGCACAAUGUUCCAGCGCCGCCAAUAUCUUCGGGCAUUAAAUUAAACCGGGCAUUCAGUAUUCGCAGAGCGCGUGUUACUUGCGACUCGGACACGACUCCAAAUACAACUCCGGAGGAACGCAGACGGAAAGCUCAAUUGGAAAUAAAAUCCGCUCCGUCGUCUGCGCGGCAACAAAGUCAUCAUCGCGGAAGGACAAGUAGCGUUGGUGCGAGUAAUAAAGAUAAUUAUAAAAAACCUGAUGCACGUCCACGUGUUCCUUCAUUGUCGAGAAAUGAGGGUGGUCGGUACAGUAUGCGAGGACAAAAAAGUACAUCUAGUGCAUCAGCUUCACGGCCUAGUUCCGGCGUUAAAGUCAGCAAGGAACCAAAAAAUUCAGGUCGCAGUAAUUCAACGUUGACUUCUAAAGAAGUUGAGUUUCAGAAUUGGAAACGUAGAAAAAAUUAUGAUCCUAUGAAAGCUGCGGCAGAGGGUAAAAAGAAGUUGGAUACUUCAAGGAAACAUCAUAGCAUUGAAGAUGGUUCCAAUAGUCGUGACAGUUCUGUUUUACGGUCAGCAAGUUUUCAUGGUACACGUGGAGCGCUUUCUUUGGCUGACGAUUGGUCUGACAAUGAAUUAAAUUUUGUUGAACAAAAAGAAAUAAUUCAGAUACCACCACCAUGUAGUCCUCGUGACAGUGACAGUGACUUAGACACCUCGUCUUAUUUACAGACAACGCAAAACGUUAUGUCUGCAAUGUCUGCAAGAAUUACUGUCUACCAGCCAGCUCCAGUUGACUCUGGAGGUGAGAGCGAUGAAGAUACCAGUCAGAGUUUACGGCAAACAAACAAAUUAUCACACCAAGUGAGCGACACUGAGAGCAGCGACGAUCCCCAACUCGGUUCCAAGUUCAAUCGAUCAUACGGCCUGAGGAAACCGCGAGUCCAGGAGGUAAAAAGCGCCCCGAUAAAAACACGAGCUCCCGUAGUCAAUUCAAGGGCAAAGUCCGAGACCGCCAGUAUCGCACGCACUGACUCCGGAAGAUUCAGCAUGCGGUCCAAGGGUUCAACAGCCACUGGACCAAAAGCCAAACCCAAGGACGUUAAGAAGCAGAGCCAAUCGCUGGCAAGGGAACAGGAAAUGCAGAAUUGGAAGCGACGAAAGAGUUACGAUCCGAUGAAAGCUGCUAUGGAAGGGAAAAAAAAAGCCGGAUUGGUUAAAAAAAAUCUUAACUCCGAGUCUUCCAGGAAUCUUAGCGAUCGAUAAUAGUGAUAGACUUCAUCAAUACGAGAAAGUGGUAUGAACUGUAUUAAAAAUGUACUGAGAUCUCAAAGCUUCCAUGGGCCUGUUAAUUUUGGCAUCAGCGAGUGGAGCGACGAAGACGUUUCGGCCUCUGCUGAUGAAGCUCCGAUUUAUUGAUAAUUAUUAUUAUGAUAAUUAUAUACUAAUUAUGAUGACUCGAUAUAAUUAUUACGACAAUUAUCUCAAUGUAAAGUUUCACUAUGCUAUAGAUAAGUCGGUGAUAAAAAAUCCAUGACUUAAAAUUAAUUAAAUUAAAGUUUAUUGCGCAAUCGGAUUAUCAAUUUAGUUAUUUAAUUUUUUUAUUUUUCGUAUGUUGUAAACAUAUAUAUUUAUAUUUAUAUAUUUUUUUGCUAUGACGCAUGAUGUUUUUUUUUUAAAUUUGCGUUAAGUGAUUAUUGAUAGACGAAAAUUACUGCGACUUUUUAUUCGAGUAUCGAAACAAAUAAAAUGAACAAAAAGUAUGUAAAAAAAAAUAGUUUAAAUUAAUAAUGCAAUGCUGAGAAUGGAAUUAUCUUAGGGAUUAUCUCUAAUUAUCUAUAAUUGUACAAAAUAUAAUGUUUUAUUAUUUACAGUAGGAUUUCAUAUUUCUUGAGAUUGCAGUUGAGGUAAAAGACCUAGUACUCGAUCACUCCAUGCAUUUGUAUUGAUAUAUUUAGUAGAAUUCAGUAAAUAUAUAUACAAAUACAUGAGCGAUCGGGUACUGGGUCUCUUACCUUAACUUUAUUGCACUGAUAUAUCGCUACUAAUUCCAACAGGACAUAUUUUUAUGAGACCUCUUGGUUUUAGGGAACUUCCUAGAGCCAAAAGAACGUAUGAUUUUUUUUUAUUAGAAAUCAUAGUGUAGACUUAUUCUAAAACUAAAUUUUUAGCUCUAAAAUAAGUCUAUUAAAAAAUCAUACUCUGUUUUGGCUUUAGGAAGAUCCCUAAAGUCAAAAGGACAUAAAUGUAUGUCCUUUUUGAAUUUAAAAUGCGAUAUAAAAGACCUAGAACCUGACCAGGGAACUAGUACCCGAUCACUCCAUGUAUUUUUGUAUAUAUAUUUAGUAAAAUUUAUGAAAUAUAGAUAUACAAAUACAUGAGUGAUUGGGUACUAGAUCGCUGAUCGAGUAUUGGGUCUUACCUUACUUACAUUGAGUGAUUUUUUGUUUUUUCACGUUUAUUUUACAAGAGAUGUAUAUUUGAUUGAAAGAUAAUCAAUUGUAUUCUAUGAAAAUUAUAAAUUUAUUUCUAUUGGAUUUGUUAUGCUGGUGAAAAAUGUGCCUCUAUUAUUAACAUAAAUUAUUCAAAUUGUUAUUGCUAACGUUGAGUUUGAUAUUUAAAUUUGUUUAGCUUUUUUUUUAUAAUUAAAAGUACUAUUAUUUAUAUCAACGUUGAAGUAAAAAAAAUUUUUUAUAUUAUUUACGAUGUAAAAUUUACAAUGUGAUCGCUUUUUCUGUACAUCACACUGUUAU